CUUAUAAAUGAAGUAUCGAUUAACUUAUAACAUACUCUAGAUAAUUGCUUGUUAAUCAUCAAAAUAACACUAUCAUCCUCAAUNUCCCCUUUUGAUGAUUACAAAUAAAGAGUAUGAACCUUUUGAUACUUAUUUUAAAAUCAGUUUUUGAAAGGGCUUAACUUGCUGAAUUUCAGCUUUUCAUAUAUAAGAGUGAAGUCUCCCCCUAUAUCAUUCAAAUGUUGCCAGUUUGACUUUUUGAAUUGCUCCCCCUUUCAUUUAUAAUUCAUUAAAGAUGAAACUCCAAAAAUUUGAGAUAAAACAUGAGUUUCAGGUUAUGUAUCGAGGUGUGAAAGAUGCGUGCCA
rnacentral:lncRNA from 1 species